rnacentral:ncRNA from 1 species
UUCGUUAGAACACUACCUAAGGCUUUCGCUGCAAUGGCGAAGGCACAGAAGGUUCGCCACGCCGGCAGCGGACCUUCGCAGGCAGAUACGUCUGCCAGGCCUUGCCACAAGGCCAACGGGACAUAACAGUCAAC